CAUGCACGACACCACGUGAGGGAUGACGGCCUUCGGGUUUUAAACCUCUUUCAGCAGGGACGAAGCGAAAGUGACGGUACCUGCAGAACAAGCACCGGCCAACUACGUGCCAGCAGCCGCGGUAAUACGUACGGUGCAAGCGUUGUCCGGAAUUACUGGGCGUAAAGAGUUCGUAUGCGGUUUGUCGCGUCAUUUGUGAAAACUCACAGCUCAACUCUGAGCUUGCAGGCGAUACGGGCAGACUUGAGUACGGCAGGGGAGACUGGAAUUCCUGGUGUAGCGGUGAAAUGCGCAGAUAUCACGAGGAACACCGGUGGCGAAGGCGGGUCUCUGGGCCGUAACUGACGCUGAGGAACGAAAGCGUGGGUAGCGAACAAGAU
rnacentral:rRNA from 1 species